rnacentral:tRNA from 1 species
UUCUUUAGCUCAGUCGGUUAGCGCGCUGUCUUGUAACACAGAGGUCCCGGGUUCGAGUCCGGUGUAGAAA